rnacentral:lncRNA from 1 species
GGGGGGGGGAAUGAUCAUGUUCUUGGAACUUUAAAGAUAAUUUGUCUUCCUUUUUCAGUCAAAUGGCAAAUGCAUGGUCCUAUUGGUUUGAUUGAAUAGGAGUGUUUCUUUUCGAAGUUAGAGAAUGUCAUAUAUAGCUAUUUUGUGAAGAGGUGAUGUAAUUAAUCUUCCACGGAUGACUAUGAAAGUUGGUUUAAGCUUCUUGGACAGGGGAUUGGGACAGGGAAUUGGGACAGGGGGCAUGUGGCGCCCCCCUAUUGGAGGGGUAGCUGACGCGGUCAGCUACCCCUCCAAUAGGGGGGCGCCACAUGCCCCCUGUUGCCAAACCCUGUCCCAAUCCCCUGUCCCCCUAGCAUAUCUCAUGAAAGUUAGUGUCCUUGGCUGUAUUUCAGCAACACUCGCGCUUUAUCAAUAAUUCAGCAUAGAAUAUGGACUGGGAAUUACCCAGACUGUGUUGAUGUAAUUGUUCUAGUUGAUGGAAAUGUGGAUUUGUGUUUUGCCCAAUUUGUCAUCACAUUAAGUUUUGAGCUGAAAUAUAACAAGUGUACAAAAAUUG